GCUCAGAAUGAACGCUGGCGGCAUGCCUAACACAUGCAAGUCGAACGAAUUACCUUCGGGUAGUUAGUGGCGCACGGGUGCGUAACGCGUGGGAAUCUGCCCCUUGGUUCGGAAUAACAGUUGGAAACGACUGCUAAUACCGGAUGACGACGUAAGUCCAAAGAUUUAUCGCCGAGGGAUGAGCCCGCGUAGGAUUAGGUAGUUGGUGUGGUAAAGGCGCACCAAGCCGACGAUCCUUAGCUGGUCUGAGAGGAUGAUCAGCCACACUGGGACUGAGACACGGCCCAGACUCCUACGGGAGGCAGCAGUGGGGAAUAUUGGACAAUGGGCGAAAGCCUGAUCCAGCAAUGCCGCGUGAGUGAUGAAGGCCUUAGGGUUGUAAAGCUCUUUUACCCGGGAUGAUAAUGACAG
rnacentral:rRNA from 1 species